UCAGUAGAGAUCUCUAAGAAGAUACACAAGGAUAUUCACCACUUGGCCAUUAUCUGCCUGCAGAUCCAUGGUUCUACUAGAUCUCUUCCAAAAUGAGGUGAGGAAACUGAGGCAUAAAGAAGUUGAGUAACAUACCCAACCUCAUGGAUCUGAUUUCAACCUGAAAGCUUUUGAAAUGUACUUCUGUGUGGAGUGAGGGAAGGCAAAGAGAAAGCCUCAGUUUCUUAAUCUGCAAAAUGAGUCCACUGUUGAAACAACCUUGAAGAUUUAAUGGAGGGGAAAAUCCAUAUGUAAAGCACACCUGGAGGUAACUACCAAAAGAUAAGUGCUCAAUGAAUGUGGACUAUAUAUUUUUAA